UCAUGCCUACUAUUGUACCUGUACUUGAAUAGUUUAUUGAGGACACAGUAUGAGUCAGCAUUAAACGCAUUUUGUUUCAGUUCAGACGUUUUGUUUCUCUUUUGUAAUUAUCAUUAUUUCUUUAUUUAGUAUCUCCACCUGUUAAUGCUUUAGUUAAUACAAAUAGACCUUGUCUACAUAAAUCAUUAACUGCCGUUAGUUAGUGUCCCAUCCAUUGUGUCUCGGAAAUGGGCUGGGGAUUAAAUUAAUAUUAGCGUUGGCGAUAAUCCGUACCCAAACGACCGGAACGAAGGACUUCGUGACCUAAAUAUCAGUCACCUGCGUACCUCAUAAAUAUUCCAUCUCAAAGUAAACCGUAAAGAAAAAUCACAGAUUGCAAAAGACGAGCUUAUUAGCAAUAAUGGUAGGUCUCGAAGGUCGUCCAGUUGCGGCGGAGGCAUUUCUGCAGCUGAUGUAGCUGUUUCGUUUUACUAUGGAGGUCUUGAUAUGUGUAAAGGAGACGCGGUUAGUCGUCGGUCCGCUUCCCCUCUCGCUGAUGUCGAAACCUUCGGUUGCAUGCGCCCGCGCUGGGCGCUGCGCCGUAGCAUUGCCGACGGUGCGCAAACGACGAACGAACAGUUGGACCACAACACACAAGGAAUAGUGCUCUUGUUAAAAAGUGACAGUGAAAUGCGACAAGCACGUGUCGUGAGGUAGCCGGUGACACAACCUGCGCUGACUCCUGACUUCGGUGGCGUUCUUAAGUGCACGCAAUCCGAGAGCGGAGUCUUCGUCCGGGGAACUUGAAACUUUAGCUGUUACGUUUACUUGAUAUUGCAUUAUAAUUAUGUGUUGGCAAACGCCUAGGCCGUACGUCUUAGCGUAGAUAAUGUUGGAACACGUAGCACUCCUCCCGGCCUGGUUUCUCAUGGCGUGGCUGGGAGCCUGCCUUCUCUUCAGCCCUUUCGCAAUAUUCUUCGUAAUGUGCUUACCGCAAUUACCACUUUUAGUCGUAAGAAGGGCAUGCCAUAUACCAUUCGAGUAUAUUUGAACACUGAAUGUGAGAAAUGUGUGUGAUAGUCAUGUAUUUUAGGGUAUGAAUAUUCAUAAGUUUGUAUAAAGUGUAAAUAUUUUAUAAUGAAUACAUUUUUAUUUUAUGAAGCAUCUUUA